ACCGGGGAGGCCUCAGUGUCUCCUCUCCUUCGGGAGAACGGAAGGACGCCUGCGGCCUACGAAUAAGGACACUAAGCCUUUGGGAAUUUAAGCUUUGGCUUAAUUCCAAAGUCACACGACUGGUGACUGACAGAGCCAGCUCUUGAACCAGGCUUGGCAAUAUAUUUCUGUAUAUCCUCAGGCAAGGGAAAAGAAAAUAUAAACACAUGGGACUACAUCAAACGAAAAUGCUUUUGUACAGCAAAGGAAACUAUCAACAAAAUGAAAAGACAGCCUGAUAAAUUGAGAAGGAUGUUUGUAAAUCAUAUGUGUAGUAAAGAGUUAAUAUCCAAAAUAUGUACGAAGAACUCAUACAACUCAAUAACAAAAAAAUACAACCUGAUUCAAAAUUAGAUAUAUAACUCGAAUACACAUUUUUCUAAAGAAGACACACAGAUGGCCAACAGUUCUAUGAAAAGAUAUUCAGCAUCACCAGUUAUUAGGGAAAUGCAAAUCAAAACUACAACGAGAUAUUGCUUCAUGCCUAUUAUCCAAAAGACAGUAAAUAACAAAUGUUAGCAAGGAUGUGGAGAAAAUGGAACCCUUAUACACUGUUGAUAGGAAUGUAAAUUGGUACUGCUACUAUGGAAAACAGUAUGGAGAUUCCUCAAAAAAUCAAGAGUAGAACUAACAUAUGAUCCAUCUAUCCCACUUCUGAGUAUUUAUCCAAAGAAUAUGAAAACGUUAAUUAGAAAAGAUAUAUGCUUCCCUUACUUCAUUGCAGCAUUAUUUACAAUAGCCAGUAUGUGGAAAUGACCAAAGUACCUACCAGUGAGUGAACGGAUAAAGAAGUUAUGGUUUAUAUACACAAUGGAAUACUACCCAGCCAUGAGUGAACGGAUAAAGAAGUUAUGGUUUAUAUACACAAUGGAAUACUACCCAGCCAUAAAAAGACAAAAUCUUGCAAUUUGCAUCCAUAUGGAUGGACCUAAAGGGUCCAUUAUGUUCAGUCAAAUAAAUUAGAGACAUUCACUUAUAUGUGAAAUCUAAAAAACAAAACAAACUGACAAAUAUAACUAAGCAGAAACAGAUUCACAGAUACAGAGAGCACAAACAGGAGUUUGCCAGAGGAGAGGGGCAUAGGGAUGAAUGAAAUAGGUGAGGGAAAUUAAGAAGUACAAACUUCAGUUACAAGUCAUGAAAGUGAUACAUACAUACAGAAUAGGGAAUAUAGUCAAUGCAUAGUCAAUAAUAUCGUUUUAUACUGAACAGGUGGCAACUCGACUUAUCAUGGUGAUCAUUUUGUAAUGUAUAGAAAUAUUAAAUCACUAUGUUUUACACUGGGAACUAUCAUAGUAUUGUAGGUCAAUUAUACUUCAAAAAACAAACGAACAAAUAAACUUACAGAGAAAGAUUUGUCGUUACCAGAGGCAGAGGAGGGGAAUUGGAUAAAGGUGGUCAAAAGGUACAAACUUCCAGCUUAGGUAAGAUAAGUACUAGGGAUGUGGUGUAUAAUGUGAUUAAUAUAAUUAACACUGCUGUAUGUUAUAUAUGAAAGUUGUUAAGUUAGUAAGUCCAAAGAAUUCUCAUCACAAUGAAAAUGUUUUUAUUUUUAAUUAAUUUUGAAUUUGUAUGAGAUGAUGGAUGUUCACUAAAUUUAUUGUAUUCAUUUCAUGGUGUAUGUGAGUCAAAUCAUUCUGCCAUGUACCUUAAAUGAUGCUGUGUGUCAGUAAAACUGGGAGGAAAAAAAAUGAAACUUUCUAGCUACCUUUUUCCAGCCUGUGGAAUCACAAACAAACAAAAUAAAUGAAACUAAACCAAACCAAACACACAGAUAGAGAACAGAGUAGUGGUUACCAGAGGGGAAUGGGUAGGGGAGAGGGCAAAAUGGGUAAAGGGGGUCAACUGGUGGUGGAUGGAAACUAAAUCUUUGGUGGUGAGCACACUGUAGGGUAUGGAGAACUAGAUGUAUAAUGUGGUACAGAUGAAACUUAUGUAAUUUUAUAAACCAAUGUUGCCUCAAUAAAAAUAAGUUAAAAAUUA